rnacentral:rRNA from 1 species
UACGGGGGGAGCAAGCGUUGUUCGGAUUUACUGGGCGUAAAGGGCGCGUAGGCGGCCACCGCAAGUCAGUUGUGAAAGCUCUGGGCUUAACCCAGAAAGGUCAGCUGAUACUGCGGGGCUAGAGUGCAGAAGGGGCAACUGGAAUUCUCGGUGUAGCGGUGAAAUGCGUAGAUAUCGGGAGGAAUACCAGUGGCGAAGGCGGCUUUCUGGGCCUGUUCUGACGCUGAGGAGCGAAAGCGUGGGGAGCAAACCGG